rnacentral:rRNA from 1 species
GCAGUAGCCGCGGGAAUACAGAGGGUGCGAGCGUUAAUCGGAUUUACUGGGCGUAAAGCGUGCGUAGGCGGCUUCUUAAGUCGGAUGUGAAAUCCCUGAGCUUAACUUAGGAAUUGCAUUCGAUACUGGGAAGCUAGAGUAUGGGAGAGGAUGGUAGAAUUCCAGGUGUAGCGGUGAAAUGCGUAGAGAUCUGGAGGAAUACCGAUGGCGAAGGCAGCCAUCUGGCCUAAUACUGACGCUGAGGUACGAAAGCAUGGGGAGCAAACAGGAUUAGAUACCCGUGUAGUCCCUGUCUCUUAUAU